CAGCAGCCGCGGUAAUACGAAGGGUGCAAGCGUUGAUCGGAAUUACUGGGCGUAAAGCGUGCGUAGGCGGUUUGUUAAGUCUGUUGUGAAAUCCCCGGGCUCAACCUGGGAAUGGCAAUGGAUACUGGCAAGCUAGAGUGUGUCAGAGGAUGGUGGAAUUCCCGGUGUAGCGGUGAAAUGCGUAGAGAUCGGGAGGAACAUCAGUGGCGAAGGCGGCCAUCUGGGACAACACUGACGCUGAGGCACGAAAGCGUGGGGAGCAAACAGGAUUAGAUACCCCCGUAGUCCCUGUCUCUUAUAC
rnacentral:rRNA from 1 species